GGGAGCUUGCUCCCUGAAGUCAGCGGCGGACGGGUGAGAAACGCGUGGGCAACCUGCCUGUAAGACUGGGAUAACUUCGGGAAACCGGAGCUAAUACCGGAUAAUGCAUAACCUCUCAUGAGGUUAUGCUGAAAGAUGGUUUCGGCUAUCACUUACAGAUGGGCCCGCGGCGCAUUAGCUAGUUGGUGAGGUAACGGCUCACCAAGGCAACGAUGCGUAGCCGACCUGAGAGGGUGAUCGGCCACACUGGGACUGAGACACGGCCCAGACUCCUACGGGAGGCAGCAGUAGGGAAUCUUCCGCAAUGGACGAAAGUCUGACGGAGCAACGCCGCGUGAGUGAUGAAGGUUUUCGGAUCGUAAAACUCUGUUGUCAGGGAAGAACAAGUGCCGGAGUAACUGCCGGCACUUUUGACGGUACCUGACCAGAAAGCCACGGCUAACUACGUGCCAGCAGCCGCGGUAAUACGUAGGUGGCAAGCGUUGUCCGGAAUUAUUGGGCGUAAAGCGCGCGCAGGCGGUCUCUUAAGUCUGAUGUGAAAGCCCACGGCUCAACCGUGGAGGGUCAUUGGAAACUGGGGGGACUUGAGUGCAGAAGAGGAAAGUGGAAUUCCACGUGUAGCGGUGAAAUGCGUAGAGAUGUGGAGGAACACCAGUGGCGAAAGCGACUUUCUGGUCUGUAACUGACGCUGAGGCGCGAAA
rnacentral:rRNA from 1 species